UACGUAGGGAGCAAGCGUUGUCCGGAAUCAUUGGGCGUAAAGCGCGCGUAGGUGGCUUCGUAAGUCCGUUGUGAAAGUCAAAGGCUCAACCUUUGAAAGCCGAUGGAUACUGUGAAGCUGGAGUACGGAAGAGGCGAGUGGAAUUCCUGGUGUAGCGGUGGAAUGCGCAGAUAUCAGGAGGAACACCAAUAGCGAAGGCAGCUCGCUGGGACGUUACUGACACUGAGGCGCGAAAGCGUGGGGAGCGAACAGG
rnacentral:rRNA from 1 species